UUCCUGGCAGAGCCAGAGCCAAGGCCUGGGGCUCCUUCCUGUUCCUCUGCCCUCCUCUCAGCACUUCUCACCUUGCCCAUCCCUCCCAUCUUCCCCCAGGUCCUUCUGCUGGGAGCACCGCCCGCAGCAGGCAGUAGAGGCAGUGCCGAUGCAGGACACGACCUGCAUCAUCUGCAUGGAGCCCGUGGGUGACAGCAGGUCGUACAGCACCAUGGUGUGCCCAUCCUGCCGGCACGCCUGGUUCCACCGGGCCUGCAUCCAGGGAAUGGCCCUGCGCGCUGGGCUUCGCUGCUUCCAGUGCCCCCUCUGCCGAGACAGAGACACAUUUUUAGGAGAAUUGUUCAGCAUGGGGAUCCGAAUCCCAGACAGGUGGGUGUCUUUCAGCCAGCUCUUCAGAUGUGAGGGCACAAGAGCUGAGUCUGCCCAGGGACUGCCCGAGCAGGCCAGGUCCUUUGCUGGUCCCAUGGGCGUAGGCUUCACCUUCAUGGAGAAGGUGGAAAUGGGGUUUGGCUGGAAGAGCAGGGAUGGUCUGGGUCAGUCUUACUCUGGUGACACUGAGUUUUAACCACAUUCUCUCUCUCAUGUAUCAGAAGUCCAAUGUGGGAGGAGAACAAUGCCUAUGCAUCUCUGGGAGGAAGGCACGGGAGCUGUGAUGCCAGCGUCUGCCGUUACCCACGUGGCAGGGAGCAGGCAGAGGAAGCGGGGUGAGUUGCCUCUGUGUGGGAUCGCAGCCUCAGCACAGGCUGGGGGAGCACAGACUGAGCACCAGAGCUCUGCCAGGCACUCCUUGGCUCAGGUCACUUUGUCCUCAUGGCCACAACCGGUUUGUUUCCCCAGGCCCUGGGAGCUGCUCCUCUGCUGCUCCUGUGCUGCACAAGGCACUCAUCGACUCUGCUCCAACUUGAGUCAGAGCACAACCAGCUGGGAGUGCAACGCCUGUGCUGGAGAGGGCACCGGCCCCAGCACCAACUAGGUUCUUGCCAGACAUAGCGCCACCAGCCAGCAGGAACUGGGGCAAUUCUGAGGCACCACAGCACUGGAGAGAAGCAGCUCCAGCACCACCAGCCAGGCACCACUGACACCAGCACACGGUUCCCAUGUGCCUGAAAACAGUGUCCUGUCCAGCCAGCGCAGGAUGGAGCAGAGGAGAACCAGCCCACGUUUACACCAGGAAGAGAACGCCUGCAAUCAGCCCCGAGGACACCGUGGGAGCUGCCGUAAUGCUACCUCCACUGCUGAGGGCAGCACCCCAAACUCUGCCAGCCAGGGGACAUCAGAGUCCUCGCGGCACUCCCCUGCAGCUGGCUACAACCUCCGGUGCAGACAGGGACUGCGGGCCCGGACACAAAGCCGCUCUCCGUUGCAGCGCCGGGCCCCACGUUCUCCAAGCCAGCCCCAAACACACCGUGGGAGCAGGCAGGAAUCAACCCUAAGUGCCGAGAGCUGCACCCACAGCUACACCAGACCAGGAGCACCAGGGGCCUCAGGGGAUUCCACAGAGGCUGCUGGAAGCCGGUCCAGGCAGCCAGGGUGGGUCCGGACUCGAAGCCUGCUGAGACCCACAGCCAGCCCCGAAGACGCCGCAGGAGCCGGUCCAGGCGGCGAGGGCCAGCCCAGGGGCGAAGCCGCUCCCGGGUACCACGUCGGGCCCGGAACAUCAACAGCCGGCCCCGGUGAUGCUAUAGGAGCAGCUGCGUGCAAGCUCCGCUUGUCCAAAC